AUCAACCGAGAUUCCCCCAGUAGCGGCGAGCGAACGGGGAGCAGCCCAGAGCCUGAAUCAGUGUGUGUGUUAGUGGAAGCGUCUGGAAAGGCGCGCGAUACAGGGUGACAGCCCCGUACACAAAAAUGCACAUGCUGUGAGCUCGAUGAGUAGGGCGGGACACGUGGUAUCCUGUCUGAAUAUGGGGGGACCAUCCUCCAAGGCUAAAUACUCCUGACUGACCGAUAGUGAACCAGUACCGUGAGGGAAAGGCGAAAAGAACCCCGGCGAGGGGAGUGAAAAAGAACCUGAAACCGUGUACGUACAAGCAGUGGGAGCACGCUUAGGCGUGUGACUGCGUACCUUUUGUAUAAUGGGUCAGCGACUUAUAUUCUGUAGCAAGGUUAACCGAAUAGGGGAGCCGAAGGGAAACCGAGUCUUAACUGGGCGUUAAGUUGCAGGGUAUAGACCCGAAACCCGGUGAUCUAGCCAUGGGCAGGUUGAAGGUUGGGUAAC
rnacentral:rRNA from 1 species